UGCCAGCAGCCGCGGUAAUACGGAGGGUGCAAGCGUUAUCCGGAUUUAUUAGGUUUAAAGGGUCCGUAGGCGGAAAUUUAAGUCAGUGGUGAAAGCCGACAGCUCAACUGUCGAACUGCCAUUGAUACUGGAAAUCUUGAGUACAAAUGAAGUAGGCGGAAUGAGUCAUGUAGCGGUGAAAUGCAUAGAUAUGACUCAGAACACCGAUUGCGAAGGCAGCUUACUAACAUGUAACUGACGCUGAGGGACAAAAGCGUGGGGAGCGAACAGGAUUAGAUA
rnacentral:rRNA from 1 species